rnacentral:rRNA from 1 species
AGGCAUGGCGGAUGCCUUAACAUGCAAGUCGAACGGUAACAGGGAGCUUGCUCCGCUGACGAGUGGCGAACGGGUGAGUAAUACAUCGGAACGUGCCCAGUAAUGGGGGAUAGCUCGGCGAAAGCCGGAUUAAUACCGCAUACGCCCUGAGGGGGAAAGUGGGGGACCGCAAGGCCUCACGUUAUUGGAGCGGCCGAUGGCUGAUUAGCUAGUUGGUAGGGUAAAGGCCUACCAAGGCGACGAUCAGUAGCUGGUCUGAGAGGACGAUCAGCCACACUGGGACUGAGACACGGCCCAGACUCCUACGGGAGGCAGCAGUGGGGAAUUUUGGACAAUGGGGGAAACCCUGAUCCAGCAAUGCCGCGUGUGCGAAGAAGGCCUUCGGGUUGUAAAGCACUUUUGUCAGGGAAGAAAUCCUUUGGGCUAAUACCCUAGGGGGAUGACGGUACCUGAAGAAUAAGCACCGGCUAACUACGUGCCAGCAGCCGCGGUAAUACGUAGGGUGCAAGCGUUAAUCGGAAUUACUGGGCGUAAAGCGUGCGCAGGCGGUUGUGUAAGACAGGUGUGAAAUCCCCGGGCUUAACCUGGGAAUUGCAUUUGUGACUGCACG